CUUCGUCUGAACAUGUUUCCUCUUUCCACAUGGAGAACAAACACGGCAUUUCAUUCUCAUGGCACAAGAGCCAGCAUCUAGUUUAAUGUUUAUUUCAUCAGUGGGACCCCCUCUUAGUGCUUUCGAUGCAGAAUAUUAUGUAAAACAAUGGCUAAAGAAAGGACGUCGACAUGCAGAUUACCAGUCUUGUGCAGCCCCCGCAGAUAGAAGAUCAGUGACUUCAGAAAGCACCGAAAACAUCUGGAAAAUAUUCUAAAGAUAAGUACUCUUAAUGCAUGUGUGACUUUAUUUUAACGAAUGCCAUUUAAACUACUGUAAUAUGUUCGUAGGUCUUAGAUGGAACACAGACUAUAUACAUCACUCGGUAUAUUUUCAUAAUUUAUGUCUAUGAAUUAAAAGGGGAAAACCAUCCCGGUUCUAUUUUCAUUCCACC